rnacentral:tRNA from 1 species
GAGAUUCUAGUAAAAUUAUAUUACACUGCUUUGUCAAGGCAAAAUCGCGGGUUUAAAUCCCACGAAUCUCA